AGCUGAUGGCGUUGACCGUGGGUAAGUCACGACUUGAAUUGGGUUGUGAGGGAGAUAUAUGAUAUGGUGGAGGAAGAUUGAGGAGCUGUUGAUUUUAGGUUGUGUGGCUAGUGGUGAGGGGCGUUGGUGAUGGUGUUGCUAGACUGGGUGGUUGGUCAGAGGAGGUAUUCUGGUGAUGGGGUUUUUAUGUUUUGGGUUUUGUGGGAAGCUUUGGUGUUUGUGAUAGUUGGAGGAGACAAUGAAGGGUAAGGGAGCUUGUUUUUGUUUUUUUGGUUGUAUGUAGCUGAUGACUGGGUUUUGGAAUUGGGGCUAGGGUUUUUUUUUUUUUUAAUAUAGAUAUCAGGAGAGAAUGUAUGCAUAACUUUUUUUAUUAUUAUUUUU
rnacentral:lncRNA from 1 species